UGUGUGUGUGUGUGUGUGUGUGUGUGUGUAUAUGUGUGUGUAUGUAUAUACAUAUAAUAUACACGUACACACACUUACAGACACACACA